CACAAGUCGUCGGCUUCCCAGGCCUGAGCAAUUGACCACGAUAUCAAAAGAUGGCUGCAGCUCCCACAGGUCUUCUAUUCUCCUGAUUCAGAUAUAGAGCUCUCCAGCUCCUUCUCCAGCACCAGGCCUACCUGCAUGCCAUCAUGCUUCCCGCCGUCAGGGUGAGGAACUAAACCCCUGGACUGUAAGCCAGCCCUAGUGAAGUGUUUUCCUUUCUAAGAGUUGCUGUGGUCCUGGUGUCCCUUCAAGCCAUGCAGAGCAAUCCAGUAAGCAGCACCCAUCCAUGGCGUCUGCAUCAGCUCCCUGCUUUGGGUCCUGACUUUCCUUCAUGAUACAGACUGUGAUCAGAACAUAAAAGCCAAAGAAACCCUUUCCCACCCGAGUUGCUUUGACCGCGUUUUCUCACAGCAGCAGAAAGCAAACCAGGACAAAGGGUUUCGACAGAGGAGGGAGAGGCACGAGAGAGGGUAAUGAGAAUCGAAAACAACUAAAAGUCCUUAUGUGCAUGAAACUGUCGAAAAAGCAGACAAGCACCGAGGAAAGACUUGGGGAGCAAGCAUCUACUCCUCACUGUCCCUGUAAGCUUGUUAACCCAGCAGCCUCGCUAAGCUCCUCCGCCAUAUUGCUGCGCGGCCACCCGAGUCAGCUCAUUGUGAAACUGAAAGCAGACAUCUGGAGCGGGACUGAUGCGGAUGCCGUCGACCGAAUGCCGUCGACGCACCACAGCUGCUGCAGCUGCUUUCCUAGAAAAACAAGGUUUAUCGCCAUAAAGCACAAGCGAGGCCCUGUGACCUGUGGGUAGACCUGCUCCACGCCCGCGAGAUAUGCUCCACACCCACUGGUCGCUUAUAUUUAAUACAACCAUGCAGACUCUUUAA